CUGAGAAGUCAAGGGGUCCUGGGGUUGGGGUUCAGGCAGGAGGUGGUAAGGAAGAGGUAGAAGACCCCAGGGCAGAGGCCUUAGACUUGAGCACAGAGCUAAAGGACUAGAAAUCAAACAAUAAAUUCCAGUCUCACACUUCUGCCAUAAAUGAAACUAAAUAUGUUAUUACCUUAACCUUUUAAUAAACAGAAAACCUUUAAAAAUACAACAUCCCAGGCCCCUGUUGAAGAAUUCCUGGGAGUGGAAAAUCCAGUUUUCGGCCUCUGGUCCCUUCAGCCCUUCAGCUCUGUUGGACAAAGGGACAUCUGUGCUUUCCCCGGCAGAGACUUGGAAAAUCUGAGGCCCUGGCUCUGUGGUAGGGGAAGGCUGGAGGGUGGGGAGGGCUCUGUCCUGGGGCAGCCAGGAGGGCAUGCAGCUCCCCAUUAGGUGCCAAAGUCACUGUGUUUUCCCAGUGUGGGGUCACCCAUAUUCACAAUGGAUUCAGCUUCCUGAAGUAGGGCCUCAAAAAAACUUCCCUCUUCACUUUGCUGAUAUCUGAAUGCCAUAAUAUUGAACUUUAUUCCUUUUGACUUGAGCAUCAACUCUGGCACUUGUUAAAAAUAUUUCUGGAAGGGAACAUGUAUUUAGCCUAUCAGUCACUUACAUCUUGGUAUAAAUGAGGUUACUGACUCUUCCCUCAGGAAGUCUGAUGGAGGGGAUGGUGGUGGGGAAGUGGAGGUAGUGGUUGAAUGUCCAUCUGAGCCAGACAGCCUGGGUUCAGAGCACACUCUGCAGGUCCCUGAACCUCCCAGUCUGCUUUCUUGUAUAUAAAUUGGCACCAAAAACACCUGCCUCUUUAGGCUGAGGUUUUAUGAAAAGUAGUAGUAGAAUCAUAAGAGAACAAAAUGAAGACACUAGAAGCUUGGCAAAAUGCAGCUACUCACCUCAGGGGAAAUUCACUCUGCAAAGAAGAUAAAAUCUUUCUUAAUGGCAUAGUUUGUCCUGUUGAUCCCAGACUCCUUCCCUUUUCCUGUGGGUGCUAAGGUAGAUAUCUCCCAGCAUCCUCAGGACUGUGGUAUGGUCAUGGGGCUGGCUUCUGGCUAGGGAAGGUGGGCAGGGUUUUCUUCCUCCUGUGCUUGUGGUUGGCAGAGGAUCCUGUCUCAGGGGAUUGUGGGGCCAUCAAGGAGGGUGCUGGGGUCCCUGAAGAAAUGCAUGGAGCAGAGAACCUCUUCUAACCCACAAAGGAAUGUAGGAAAUACACCUUUGCUAAGCCACUGUGAUUUGGGAAUUGCUUAUUAUGGGCUUAACUUGCGCUUACUGUUGCUUUCUUUCCUUCUCAGGAUCCUGCACAAGGAGGAAGGGUGAGGUAGGAGGAAAGGGCCAAGAGCCAAGGACCUAGAAAAUAACCCAAAACAUCCUCCGCAGGCUGCAGGCACUGGUCAUCAGCUGCCAAAUGUACCUGGGGUCAACCUGGAAGUUCAAGGUGAUCACGGUAUGCAAACCAUCAAGGCUUCAACGUCCCACAAGGGUCAUCACUGGCUGGCAGUCUCUGAGGGGAUGGAGCUAAGGAUAUGGAGCAGAAGUUCAGUGCUAAUGAAAAAGGAAAGAUUUGCCAGGAGCCGAUUUGACCGGAAUGAUAUGGCAAGAGAAAAAAAUGCCACCAAGUUUUAACAGGGACAUGACAUAAGGUCAAGAUUUUGAACACCAUUUUGAGAACCACUGUGGCUUCAUUAUUGAGUCCCAUGAACUCUCUCACAAGCUCAGGGCUGGGUGGAUAAGGACUGGAGGGAAAAAUCUGCUUUUCCAGGAAUGGACCAAUAUGGAUUAUCUGGUGUUACAUAAAACUAGUAAUUCUACAGUUUAAUAAAAACACAAGUCGGCAGAUAAGAAAAACGUGUAUCCUCUUAUGCUUAAGCCGUUUCUAUGCUUAAGCAAGCUAUUUCUAAGGGCCUAGAACUUUCAGCUGAGAUUAAGGAAAUGAACACAUUAUAAAUCUGCAGGCAUUUAAGUCUCUUUGACACAAGACAAUGAACUCAUGAAAGAAGUUUUCAAUCAGACAACCCAUAAUACUUGAUGUAGAAAAUGUUCCAGCUUCCAUACUUCUUUAUUAAAUACUUGACAAGCUGCAUCACUUCUUUACAAUGACUUCAUUAUGUCACAUUACUUUUUUGCUGUCAGAAAAACAAACUACAAAUUUUCUUUAGAUCUCUCAAGAAGAAAGAAAAGCAAAAAAA